GUUACCUUGUUUAAUCUCUCUCUUCUCUUUUUAUUGAAAGAGAUAACCAGAGCACUGCUCUGCUCUUUAUGAUGUUCUGCUUGUUUUUGUCUUUCUUGCUGUGAUACGUUCGUUGCUGGGGAUUGAAACCAAGACAUGGUGAAUGCAAGACACAAGCUCUAUUGCUGGGCCUCCUUCCUGGCCCCUUGGUCUCCAUCUUCUGUCCACUCUUUCCCCACCAGGAGCCAUCCCUAGAAUCUGUCACCAGGUUCCAGAGGAUGCCAUGAUGCCAACUCAAUGUCCUUGGGCAGAGGACCCCACCAUGAGCCCUGCCUCCUCAGAUCCCUGCCCCACCAGGAAAAGAGAGAGACAGGCUGGGAGUAUGGACAGACCUGCCAACACCCGUGUUUAUCAGAGAAGCAAUUACAAAAGCCGGAUCUUCCACCUUCUGCACCCCAUAAUGAUCUUGAGUUCAUACUCCCAGAGGGAUAAAGAAUAGAUAGGAAGAGAGAUAUAGAGAGAAAGGUACCACAGGACCAAAACUUCCUCCAAUGCAGUGACAACUGGGAUCAAACCUGAGUCACACAUACAGCAAAGCAGGUAUACUGCCCAGGACAAAGAGACACGGAGAGAGGAGGGGAAGACAGACAGCAGGAGACCUGCAGACCUGAUUCACCGCUUGUGAAGCAACUCCCCUGCAGCCACCAGGUUCCAGAGGAUGCCAUGAUGCCAACUCAAUGUCCUUGGGCAGAGGACCCCACCAUGUGCCUUGGAGCCCUGCCUCCUCAGAUCCCUGCCCCACCAGGAAAAGAGAGAGUCAGGCUGGGAGUAUGGACAGACCUACCAACACCCAUGUUUAUCAGAGAAGCAAUUACAAAAGCCAGACCUUCCACCUUCUGC